rnacentral:rRNA from 1 species
AGUUUGGCCGGAUGGUCCAUUGCUUCGGCGAUGCGUACUGUUCGUUUGGUCGAACCUUUCCUCCUGGGGAAGCGUGUGGUGGUGGUUUUCGGACCACGGGCCAUGCGUCCUGAGCCAGGACGUUUACCUUGAAAAAAUUAGAGUGUUCAAAGCAGGCACACGCUUGUAUAGAUUAGCAUGGAAUAAUGGAAUAGGACCUGUGGUCUUGUUUUGUUGGUUUUGCAUAGACCGCGGUA